CAGCCUGCCGCGUGAGUGAUGAAGGCCUUUGGGUUGUAAAGCUCUUUUUUCAGGGAAGAAAAUGUCGGGGCUUAUACCCGUUUGCCCUGACAUUUACUUUACAGCA
rnacentral:rRNA from 1 species